UACGUAGGGUGCGAGCGUUGUCCGGAAUUAUUGGGCGUAAAGAGCUCGUAGGCGGUCUGUCGCGUCGAUCGUGAAAACUUGGGGCUUAACCCUGAGCUUGCGGUCGAUACGGGCAGACUAGAGUUCGGUAGGGGAGACUGGAAUUCCUGGUGUAGCGGUGAAAUGCGCAGAUAUCAGGAGGAACACCGGUGGCGAAGGCGGGUCUCUGGGCCGAUACUGACGCUGAGGAGCGAAAGCGUGGGGAGCAAACAGG
rnacentral:rRNA from 1 species